UACGGGGGGGGCAAGCGUUGUUCGGAAUUACUGGGCGUAAAGGGCUCGUAGGCGGCCAACUAAGUCGGAUGUGAAAUCCCCAGGCUCAACUUGGGAACUGCAUCCGAUACUGGAUGGCUUGAAUUCGGGAGAGGGAUGCAGAAUUCCAGGUGUAGCGGUGAAAUGCGUAGAUAUCUGGAGGAACACCGAUGGCGAAGGCAGCCCCCUGGGCUAACACUGACGCUCAGGCACGAAAGCGUGGGGAGCAAACAGG
rnacentral:rRNA from 1 species